rnacentral:rRNA from 1 species
AACGUAGGUGGUGAGCGUUAUCCGGAUUUACUGGGCGUAAAGCGUGUGCAGGCGGGGGGACAAGUGGGGUAUGAAAUCGCUCGGCUAAACCGGGCGGGGUUAUGCCAGACUGUUCAUCUGGAGUGCGAGAGAGGGGCGUGGAAUUCCCGGUGUAGCGGUGAAAUGCGCAGAUAUCGGGAGGAACACCAAUUGCGAAGGCAGCUUGCUGGGACGGUACUGACGCUGAGGCGCGAAAGCGUGGGGAGCAAACAGG